rnacentral:rRNA from 1 species
AUGAACGCUGGCGGCGUGCCUAAUACAUGCAAGUCGAGCGAACAGACGAGGAGCUUGCUCCUCUGACGUUAGCGGCGGACGGGUGAGUAACACGUGGAUAACCUACCUAUAAGACUGGGAUAACUUCGGGAAACCGGAGCUAAUACCGGAUAAUAUAUUGAACCGCAUGGUUCAAUAGUGAAAGACGGUUUUGCUGUCACUUAUAGAUGGAUCCGCGCCGCAUUAGCUAGUUGGUAAGGUAACGGCUUACCAAGGCGACGAUGCGUAGCCGACCUGAGAGGGUGAUCGGCCACACUGGAACUGAGACACGGUCCAGACUCCUACGGGAGGCAGCAGUAGGGAAUCUUCCGCAAUGGGCGAAAGCCUGACGGAGCAAUGCCGCGUGAGUGGUGAAGGUCUUCGGAUCGUAAAACUCUGUUAUUAGGGAAGAACAAAUGUGUAAGUAACUAUGCACGUCUUGACGGUACCUAAUCAGAAAGCCACGGCUAACUACGUG